rnacentral:rRNA from 1 species
UACGAAGGGGGCUAGCGUUGCUCGGAAUCACUGGGCGUAAAGCGCACGUAGGCGGGUCUUUAAGUCAGGGGUGAAAUCCUGGAGCUCAACUCCAGAACUGCCUUUGAUACUGAAGAUCUUGAGUUCGGGAGAGGUUAGUGGAACUGCGAGUGUAGAGGUGAAAUUCGUAGAUAUUCGCAAGAACACCAGUGGCGAAGGCGGCUCACUGGCCCGAUACUGACGCUGAGGCACGAAAGCGUGGGGAGCAAACAGG